AUGCUCGAAGAAAGGGACAACGUUCACAUACUGGACCUCUACACCGCUUUCACUAACAUCAUCAAUCAUGCCCCUGGUGGAGGGUCGGCUGAGUCCAAGAAUUUCAAGGGCAAACUGACCCCGUGCUGCGAGAGUGCCUAUAAGGGAGGGUACUGUGGAGAGCGUAGCCAUUCAGGGAAGCGCUUGUACGACCUAUGUGAAACUCCUGACAAGAUGUUCUACUGGGACCAGACACACCCAACACAUGCUGGGUGGGAAGCUGUAAUGAAGGCGCUGCAACAGCCUUUGAUGGAGUUUCUUGAUGAGGACUACGUUGCAUGA
rnacentral:rRNA from 1 species